GAAGAAGAAGCAAGGUAGAAGAAGAUGAAGCAUAACAGAAGCCAGUGACGACUCGAACGGGAGUGAAAAGCGUAACUGUUUUCUCCCCAAAAAACGAUAAGCGAAAAAAAUAAGGAAAAAAAGCGAAAGAAGAAAGUUAUACACACGGAAAAAUUGCAAGCAUUCGAUUCGAUUUCAUUCAGUGAAUUGACGCCGCAGUUCGAGUCGAGUCGAGUUCGAGUCGAGUUCGAAUCGAGUUCGAGUCCGAGUUCUCUAAAAUUUGCAACAACAAAUGAAUAACAGCAAUAAAAACAGCAACAACAAUAAAAAAGCUCAAAAACUGUUGAAUAUAGAAUGACGUUGCAGA